UAAGGCGACUAUUGCGACGGGGUUCCACCUCUUCCCAUACCGAACAGAGAAGUUAAGACCGUCAGCGCCGAUGUUACUGCAUUCGCGGGAAAGUAGGUCGUCGCCUUUU
rnacentral:rRNA from 1 species